rnacentral:rRNA from 1 species
AGAGUUUGAUCCUGGCUCAGGACGAACGCUGGCGGCGUGCCUAAUACAUGCAAGUAGAACGCUGAAGAGAGGAGCUUGCUCUUCUUGGAUGAGUUGCGAACGGGUGAGUAACGCGUAGGUAACCUGCCUUGUAGCGGGGGAUAACUAUUGGAAACGAUAGCUAAUACCGCAUAACAAUGGAUGACACAUGUCAUUUAUUUGAAAGGGGCAAUUGCUCCACUACAAGAUGGACCUGCGUUGUAUUAGCUAGUAGGUGAGGUAAUGGCUCACCUAGGCGACGAUACAUAGCCGACCUGAGAGGGUGAUCGGCCACACUGGGACUGAGACACGGCCCAGACUCCUACGGGAGGCAGCAGUAGGGAAUCUUCGGCAAUGGGGGCAACCCUGACCGAGCAACGCCGCGUGAGUGAAGAAGGUUUUCGGAUCGUAAAGCUCUGUUGUAAGUCAAGAACGGGUGUGAGAGUGGAAAGUUCACACUGUGACGGUAGCUUACCAGAAAGGGACGGCUAACUACGUGCCAGCAGCCGCGGUAAUACGUAGGUCCCGAGCGUUGUCCGGAUUUAUUGGGCGUAAAGCGAGCGCAGGCGGUUUGAUAAGUCUGAAGUUAAAGGCUGUGGCUCAACCAUAGUUCGCUUUGGAAACUGUCAAACUUGAGUGCAGAAGGGGAGAGUGGAAUUCCAUGUGUAGCGGUGAAAUGCGUAGAUAUAUGGAGGAACACCGGUGGCGAAAGCGGCUCUCUGGUCUGUAACUGACGCUGAGGCUCGAAAGCGUGGGGAGCGAACAGGAUUAGAUACCCUGGUAGUCCACGCCGUAAACGAUGAGUGCUAGGUGUUGGAUCCUUUCCGGGAUUCAGUGCCGCAGCUAACGCAUUAAGCACUCCGCCUGGGGAGUACGACCGCAAGGUUGAAACUCAAAGGAAUUGACGGGGGCCCGCA